GUGCAGGCCAGGGAUCCUUGAAUGACCUGGCCUGUGAAGGCCCUCGCACCGAACGUGGACGCGAGGGCCUGUGAAGGCCAGGGAUCCUUGAAUGACCGGGCCUGUGAAGGCCCUCGCACCGCCACCUGGAUGCGAAGGCAUGUGAAGGCCCUGGCCUGUGAAAGCACUCGCACCAGCACCUGUAUGCGAGGGCCUGUGAAGUCGUGUAAAAGUAGUAGAAAAAUCGGAAGAGCACAAG